AAUAUCACCGAAAGUUGCCCAAUCAGAAAUUAUUGAUUCUCGUCUUGUCUAUCAGCCAUCAUUUCUCUCUUUAUGACGGUUUCAGUUCUCAAGGAAAGCUUUAUCACCAAAAACCUAUUCAUCUAUUUUAUUGAGGCUUUCCUUCCUUAUUUCCUCUUCUCUGACCGUUCUCAAUUUGGUUCUUGCACCCUAUCAGUUUUCUUUUGGUUUUCGAUAUAUCCAGGACGCUUUUAACCAGCAGUGAAGGCCGAUGCCACCUCUUGAUGAAUUUCUGAACAAGAUAAGAGGAUGAUCGUUUCAUUAUUUCUGGCCACAAUCCCCGAAGUCGAUUGGAAAUGAUGCCCAUCGUAUGCUCCGUCAAAAUUGAUUUUUACGGACUCACAUCGCUACUUUUCUUAUCAUGCAUUCUAGCAUUCCUUUCUCCCUAAAUGGCCCAUAGCACACAGCAAAAAAGUCGGCAUUGAAAAUGGGGAUAUUGAACAAUAACCCAGGUAAGCCACUGUAAAAAAUCCAUAUUAGAAUCCAUUACAAUAUUCGAGAUUGAUAAUGCUGUCCAGACUUCCACUGAAACAGGGCAUUCGCGGAAGAGGUGAUCAAUUAUUUCUGCUCCUUCUCCAUAUCGGGGACAGGUUGUAAUGUUAACUAGCUUCCUGUGCUGCAUGUUAACCCGUGUAGGCAAAUAAUUCUAUAAUAUUCUCCAGAUUGUAAUCUUGAUUUUAGUUGGGAGAUUUUGGAGCCAAAAUUUUUUGUAGAAAUUCCUGUAGUCUGUUUGUAAAGCAUAAGCUCUAGUGUUUUCACAGAAUUUUGUAAUAGUUUAUAGGCGCUACGGACUGAGUACUCUCUCGAAGAUUCGCCGCUCCAUACAAAAAAGUCAUUGUGGGGUUCCUUCGCCAAUAGGAUACGAAAGAUCUUUUCAGCAUCUUCCUCUGAAAGUGUAUUAACAAUAAGCUCCCGUUUUCAUAUUCUUUCAUUACUAUCAAUUAACUCAGCAACUUUAGAA